UGGGGAAUAUUGCACAAUGGGCGCAAGCCUGAUGCAGCCAUGCCGCGUGUGUGAAGAAGGCCUUCGGGUUGUAAGCACUUUCAGCGAGGAGGAAGGUGGUGAGCUUAAUACGCUUAUCAAUUGACGUUACUCGCAGAAGAAGCACCGGCUAACUCCGUGCCAGCAGCCGCGGUAAUACGGAGGGUGCAAGCGUUAAUCGGAAUUACUGGGCGUAAAGCGCACGCAGGCGGUUUGUUAAGUCAGAUGUGAAAUCCCCGGGCUCAACCUGGGAACUGCAUUUGAAACUGGCAAGCUAGAGUCUCGUAGAGGGGGGUAGAAUUCCAGGUGUAGCGGUGAAAUGCGUAGAGAUCUGGAGGAAUACCGGUGGCGAAGGCGGCCCCCUGGACGAAGACUGACGCUCAGGUGCGAAAGCGUGGGGAGCAAACA
rnacentral:rRNA from 1 species